rnacentral:rRNA from 1 species
GACAGAGGGUGCAAACGUUGUUCGGAAUUACUGGGCGUAAAGCGAGUGUAGGCGGUUUCCUAAGUCAGGUGUGAAAGCCCCGGGCUCAACCCGGGAAGUGCACUUGAAACUGGGAGCUAGAGUAUCGGAGAGGUUGGUGGAAUUCUCGGUGUAGAGGUGAAAUUCGUAGAUAUCGAGAGGAACACCGGUGGCGAAGGCGG